rnacentral:rRNA from 1 species
AUUGAACGCUGGCGGCAGGCCUAACACAUGCAAGUCGAGCGAGCGGCGGACGGGUGAGUAAUGUAUGGGGAUCUGCCUGAUGGAGGGGGAAAACUACUGGAAACGGUAGCUAAUACCGCAUACCAUCAGAUGAACCCAUAUGGGAUUGGCUUGUAGGUGGGGUAACGGCUCACCUAGGCGACGAUCCCUAGCUGGUCUGCGAGGAUGAUCAGCCACACGGGGACUGAGACACGGCCCAGACUCCUACGGGAGUCAGCAGUGGGGAAUAUUGCACAAUGGGCGCAAGCCUGAUGCAGCCAUGCCGCGGGUAUGAAGAAGGCCUUAGGGUUGUAAAGUACUUUCAGCGGGGAGGCGUUACCCGCAGAAGAAGCACCGGCUAACUCCGUGCCAGCAGCCGCGGUAAUAC